GCCCCAUUAGCUCAGUUGGAUAGAGUGAUGGUCUUCGAAACCAGCGGUCAUGCGUUCGAGUCGCAUAUGGGGUA
rnacentral:tRNA from 1 species